GGAUAGGAGUCUCAAAUCUCGAAGGGAAGAAGGGGAACAUCGGGGGUUCUAAUGAGAAUUUUAACACUAAAUGUGGGAGGGUUCGGGAACUCUGUGAAGUGGAGGUAUGUUAAGGACUACAUUAGAAAGGAAGAUGUCAAAAUGGUAUGUUUGCAAGAAGUAAGAAUGGAAAGUUUUAGUUUAAAUAAGUGUUGCCAACUAUGGGGGG
rnacentral:lncRNA from 1 species